AUUGAACGCUAGCGGCAGGCCUAACACAUGCAAGUCGAGCUAGCGGCGGACGGGUGAGUAAUUUCUGGGAACCUGCCCGAUGGCGGGGGAUAACUACUGGAAACGGUAGCUAAUACCGCAUACCAUUGGCUGGGCCCAGAUCGGAGUAUCUAGUAGGUGGGGUACUGGCUCACCAGGGCAACGAUCCCUAGCUGGUCUGAGAGGAUGACCAGCCACACUGGAACUGAGACACGGGCCAGACUCCGACGGGAGACAUCAGUAGGAAAUAUUGGACAAUGGGGGCAAGCCUGAUGCAGCCAUGCCGCGUGUGUGAGGAAGGCCUGCGGGUGGUAAAGCACUUUUAGCAGGGAGGGGUACUCGCAGGGAAGCACCGGCUAACUCCGUGCCAGCAGCCGCGGUAAUUC
rnacentral:rRNA from 1 species